rnacentral:rRNA from 1 species
UACGUAGGGUGCAAGCGUUAAUCGGAAUUACUGGGCGUAAAGCGUGCGCAGGCGGUUUUGUAAGACCGAUGUGAAAUCCCCGGGCUUAACCUGGGAACUGCAUUGGUGACUGCAAGGCUAGAGUGUGUCAGAGGGGGGUGGAAUUCCACGUGUAGCAGUGAAAUGCGUAGAGAUGUGGAGGAACACCGAUGGCGAAGGCAGCCCCCUGGGAUAACACUGACGCUCAUGCACGAAAGCGUGGGGAGCAAACAGG